AGCAGCAGCAAAGAAUUAUCACAGGAAGGAGUUUCAGGUGGUCAUGAUGAUCCAAUAUAGGGUUUGUUUAUUCAGUGUCAAUCUCCUCAACCCAUCUAUAGACCGUAUAGGUCAACUUGUUAGCCUAGACGAUGCAGAUCGUGUAGAGAUAUCUAAGAUCUUUCACUGUGACGGUUUACUGUUAUGCAUCACCAAAGAUAGAUCUAGUCUUGUUGUUUGGAACCCUUAUACGGCGCAAACCAGGUGGAUCAAACCCAUGAAUUCUUACCACAAGUUUUAUGACCGGUACGCUCUGGGAUACGAGAAGAAGGACAAGUACUCGCUUCGUAGCUACAAAGUCUUGCGAUUUCUAGAUAAUUACGGCUCCAGGGCUAAUGUGAAGCUUCGUGAGUUUGAAAUUUACGAUUUAAAUUCUGCUUCAUGGAAGGCUGUUGAUGUCAAUCCGGACUGGGAUAUAGAGUAUCAUCAGCGUGGUGUGUCUCUCAUGGGCAACACUUACUGGUUUGCUCAAGAGAAGCGUCCACCUGUAGGAAUGCGAGGACCUAUAUCGGCCAUCCCUGAUUUCUUACUAUGUUUUAAUUUUACAACUGAGAAAUUUGGACCUCGUCUGCGUCUGCCUUUUCACGCUAUUUAUGGAGAUACUGUGACUCUAUCUAGUGUCAGAGAAGAGCAUCUUGCGGUUCUUUUUCAACAAUGUGGUGCACCUGCAUCUACCGUCAAAAUAUGGAUUAGUAGCAAGAUUGAUCCCGAUGCGGUCUCUUGGAACAAGUUGUUCUUGAAGUUUGAUAUGAAACCACACACCGGUUUUGGUUCUCAGUUUCUGGUUACAGGUGGGAGUUUCUUCGUCGACGAAAAGAAGAAGGUCGCAGUGAUUCUUGAGAAAGACAGAGGUAAAUCUCUUCCCACUCGCAACAUAGCUUAUAUCAUUGGAAAGAAAGGAUACUUCAAAAAAGUGGAUCUUGGCGAGUCUAUAGAGCCACGUUGUUGGCCACUUGUGUGCUCGUAUGUGCCAAGCUCAGUGCAAAUCAAGCAAGCUGCACCACCCUAAUCUAUCAACUUGUAUUUCUCGUGUUUUGUAUCUCGACAAUGGUUGGUUUCUCAAUAUGGCCUCUGUUUUCUUUACUCUGUUCAUCUUUCAGUUUUAGUUAACGGAUAUCGUAUCCAAAUACCCAAGUGAUCAAAGUCUACAUUAUAUUUUAGCAUUGCUAAUUAGUUGAAAUUGAAAACAAUGGGGCUAUUUCUAUGUUAUUUAAAAUCUUCUUUUGAAAACACGAAAUUUGAUACUAUUAUACUACUAAAAUUAAGUAAAAGCUACUGCAUAAUGCAUAAGCAAAUGUGUUAAUCUUCUGGUCGUUAACGAAAAAUUUGCCUUUCAUUGUGGUUCUCGAGUCUUGACCAAAAAGGCUACUGGAUUAUGUUCUUACUUUGAGACUUUAUCACAAUAAAUAUAUAAAUCUAAGAUCAAUGACACCACCACAAAUACUCUUUUCUGAUCUUAAAAUAGGUAACUGCUAGCUAGUGUUUACUCGUUCUCCUUUAUCUUCGCAAACUGUUUCACUCCGGUGGAAUAGGAUGAGAUCAUGAAGUGCCUAUUAUGUGACCAUGAGGAAACAAAACCCUUGUCAUAUAUCCGGAAGAAAUCAGAACAAGAGCUAAAGGGUUUCUUGAAACACAAGGACCACGAUGAUAUCCAAUCUUCCAAGGGAUUUGGCGGAGGAGGUGCUCUCUAGGCUUCCGGUGACAUCACUGAGAGGAGUGCGAUCUACAUGCAAAACCGGAGCUUUACAAUGAAGCACGUCGGUAAAGCAAAAGCAGCAGCAAAGAAUUAUCACAGAGAGCAGUUUCAGGUGGUCAUGAUGUUUUGAUUUUACAAUGGAGAGAUUUGGACCGCGUCUUCCUCUGCCUUUUCAUGCUUUUAAUGGAGAUACUGUGACUGUAUCUAGUGUCAGAGAAGAGCAUCUUGCGGUUCUAUUUCAACAAUAUGGUGCACCUGCAUUUACCGUGAAGAUAUGGAUUAGUAGCAAGAUUGAGCC
rnacentral:lncRNA from 1 species